rnacentral:rRNA from 1 species
CCCAGACUCCUACGGGAGGCAGCAGUGGGGGAUAUUGCACAAUGGGGGGAACCCUGAUGCAGCGACGCCGCGUGGGCGAGGAAGUAUUUCGGUAUGUAAAGCCCUAUCGGCAGGGAAGAAGAAAUGACGGUACCUGAAUAAGAAGCACCGGCUAAAUACGGGCCAGCAGCCGCGGGAAUACGUAUGGUGCAAGCGUUAUCCGGAUUUACUGGGUGGAAAGGGGGCGCAGACGGCGAUGCAAGCCAGGAGUGAAAGCCCGGGGCCCAACCCCGGGACUGCUCUUGGAACUGCGUGGCUGGAGUGCAGGAGGGGCAGGCGGAAUUCCUGGUGUAGCGGUGAAAUGCGUAGAUAUCAGGGGGAACACCGGUGGCGAGGGCGGCCUGCUGGACUGCAACUGACGUUGAGGCCCGAAAGCGUGGGGAGCAAACAGGAUUAGAUACCCUCGUA